AAAUCCCAGCUCCGCGGAGCCGCGAGCGUUCAGAAGCGGCUGGCAGCGCUGGGUGUGUGUCGGUGUCGGGUCGGCCGGACGUGAUUGUCUUCGGUGUCCUUGGGUUCGCUACCAGGUCAAAAUGCAAAUCUUCGUGAAGACCCUGACUGGCAAGACCAUCACCCUGGAGGUGGAGCCCAGUGACACCAUCGAAAAUGUGAAGGCCAAGAUCCAAGAUAAAGAAGGCAUCCCUCCUGACCAGCAGAGGCUCAUCUUUGCAGGCAAGCAGCUGGAAGAUGGCCGCACUCUUUCUGAUUACAACAUCCAGAAAGAGUCCACUCUCCAUCUGGUUCUUCGUCUGAGGGGUGGCUGUUAAUUCUUCAGUCUUGAAGUUCAUAGUGCCCAAUGAUGGCAUUGCUCUGCACUCUAGCCAUUUGCCCCAGUUUAAGUUUAGAAAUUACCAGUUUCAGCAAUUGCUGAAAUACUGGUUUUCUCAAUAGCUGUUCAAAAUGUUAAUAAAAGUUUUGUUGCAUGGUAG